rnacentral:ncRNA from 1 species
UACUGUGCGAGGAUGAAGAGAGUACCUGUACCCCUUCCAGUUAGGGAAAAAAAGCCAUGGACUGAAAGCUUUUUAUGGAAAGAUACAGCGAAGUUCACUUUGGAGCAUCAGAGGGGAAAUCCAGUAGUCUCUGACGGGUAAACCGAUACAUUUAACUGAGCGGACAGAAGAAUUCUGUCAAUCAGGGUGGUACCACGGAAGUAUUCCGUCCCUAUU